UCGAGAAUCUUCGGCAAUGGGCGCCAGCCCGACCGAGCGACGCCGCGUGGAGGACGAAGGCCUUCGGGUUGUAAACUCCUGUCGGGGGAGAGGAACGGGCCGUGAAGAGCGGCCCUUGACCGAUCCCCGGAGGAAGCACGGGCUAAGUUCGUGCCAGCAGCCGCGGUAAGACGAACCGUGCGAACGUUAUUCGGAAUCACUGGGCUUAAAGCGCGUGUAGGCGGGCCGGUACGUCGGUCGCUGAAAGCCCCCGGCUCAACCGGGGAAGCGGCGGCGAUACGACCGGCCUGGAGGGGGGUAGGGGGACCUGGAACUUCCGGUGGAGCGGUGAAAUGCGUUGAGAUCGGAAGGAACGCCCGUGGCGAAAGCGAGGUCCUGGACCCUUUCUGACGCUGAGACGCGAAAGCCAGGGGAGCGAACGG
rnacentral:rRNA from 1 species